rnacentral:tRNA from 2 species
AUCUUUCUAGUAUUAACCCAGUAUUUGUGACUUCCAAUCACCCGGUCUUGGUGAAAAUCCAGGGAAAGAUA